rnacentral:lncRNA from 1 species
UUGUCCUUCUCCACUUGGGCCUUCGCCCUUCUCCACUUGGGCCUUUAGCCUGAAUUUGGCCAAUUUCAGGAUUCUCAUCAUUUCCUCCUUCUGGGAAAACAUUUGCCCUCAAAUGUCCAGGAUCAUCACCGGGUUCAAGUACCACUUCCUUCCUUUUCUUGUUGGCUUGCUUGGCAUAACUUUCAUUCUUCUUUGAAAUUUGCACGUUUACUUGGUCAUACAAUCUUUUCACAUACUCAACUUUGGCUUGUGCAUCCUUAUGUUGAGUCUAU